rnacentral:tRNA from 1 species
CAUUAGAUGGCUGAAAGCAAGCUCUGGUCUCUUAAACCAUCUAAUAGUAAUCUAGCACUUACUUCUAAUGA